UGGGGAAUAUUGCACAAUGGGGGAAACCCUGAUGCAGCGACGCCGCGUGAACGAAGAAGGUAUUCGUAUCGUAAAGUUCUGUCCUAUGGGAAGAUAAUGACAGUACCAUAGAAGAAAGCUCCGGCUAAAUACGUGCCAGCAGCCGCGGUAAUACGUAUGGAGCGAGCGUUGUCCGGAAUUAUUGGGCGUAAAGGGUACGCAGGCGGUUUAAUAAGUCGAAUGUUAAAGAUCGGGGCUCGACCCCGUAAAGCAUUGGAAACUGAUAAACUUGAGUAGUGGAGAGGAAAGUGGAAUUCCUAGUGUAGUGGUGAAAUACGUAGAUAUUAGGAGGAAUACCAGUAGCGAAGGCGACUUUCUGGACACAAACUGACGCUGAGGUACGAAAGCGUGGGGAGCAAACAGG
rnacentral:rRNA from 1 species